rnacentral:rRNA from 1 species
GGGGAAUUUUGGACAAUGGGGGCAACCCUGAUCCAGCCAUGCCGCGUGUCUGAAGAAGGCCUUCGGGUUGUAAAGGACUUUUGUCAGGGAGGAAAACGCAUUCGCGAAUACCGGAUGUGGAUGACAGUACCUGAAGAAUAAGCACCGGCUAACUACGUGCCAGCAGCCGCGGUAAUACGUAGGGUGCAAGCGUUAAUCGGAAUUACUGGGCGUAAAGCGUGCGCAGGCGGUUUUGCAAGUCUGAUGUGAAAGCCCCGGGCUUAACCUGGGAACGGCAUUGGAGACUGCAAGGCUAGAGUGCGUCAGAGGGGGGUAGAAUUCCACGUGUAGCAGUGAAAUGCGUAGAGAUGUGGAGGAAUACCGAUGGCGAAGGCAGCCCCCUGGGAUGACACUGACGCUCAUGCACGAAAGCGUGGGGAGCAAAC